UGAGAGGAAUUUACGGUUGCGCGAUUAUCCGCUAUUGCGGAUGAAGUGAGGAAAGUCCGAACACCACAGAGCAGGAUGCCUGAUAACGUCAGGGCGCCGCGAGGCGACGGAAAGUGCAACAGAAAAUAUACCGCCUAAAAAUAUCUGCAUGCAGAUGUUUUUAGGUAAGGGUGAAAAGGCGAGGUAAGAGCUCACCGCACCGGCCGUAAGGUUCGGUGGCAGUGUAAACCCUAUCCGGUGCAAGGCCAAAUAGGUAUUCACGAAGUUGCUCGCUUUUGAAUACGGGUAGGCCGCAAAGACAGUAACAGCAAUGUUAAUGCAAGAUAGAUAACCGUACUAGACAGAAUUCGGCUUAUUUUCCUCUCAAUCU
rnacentral:RNase_P_RNA from 1 species